rnacentral:tRNA from 1 species
GCAGGGAUAGUCUAGUUGGUCAGGACUUCAGCCUUCCAAGCUGAUGACGCGGGUUCAAAUCCCGCUCCCUGCA